GGUAAGGUGGCUGAGUUUUAAGCGGUGGAUUGUAGCCCCACAGACAGAGGUUCAAGCCCUCUUCUUAUCA
rnacentral:tRNA from 1 species